rnacentral:rRNA from 1 species
CGAGAUUGUGGUUAGUUUCCUUUAUUGGAAGUUAGCCGCGAGAACUUGUCUAAACCUUAUCAUUUAGAGGAAGGUGAAGUCGUAACAAGGUUUCCGUAGGUGAACCUGCGGAAGGAUCA